AACGCACCUUGCACCCCUUGGUAUUCCGAGGGGUACACCCGUUUGAGUGUCGUGAAAUUCUCAAAAAGCCUUUUCUUAAUCUUUAAGAAAAGUAUUUUGGACUUGGAGGAUUAAUGCUUGCUAUCAGUUAUUGAAAGAGAGCUCCUCUUAAAUAAAUCAGUGGGGGUUUGCUUUGCUGAUCCUUGAUGUGAUAAAGUAAUUCUACAUUUUGGAUAUAUAGCAUUGUUCUUUUAAACACCUGCUUCUAAUUGUCCACAUUGACAAUGAUGGUGUUCUGGUCACUGUGCUAGAACCCACAAGAAAAAACCUUGACCUCAAAUCGGGUGAGACUACCCGCUGAACUUAA
rnacentral:rRNA from 1 species